rnacentral:rRNA from 1 species
GUAAGCGUGCGCAGGCGGUUUUGUAAGUCUGUCGUGAAAUCCCCGGGCUCAACCUGGGAAUGGCGAUGGAGACUGCAAGGCUAGAGUUUGGCAGAGGGGGGUAGAAUUCCACGUGUAGCAGUGAAAUGCGUAGAUAUGUGGAGGAACACCGAUGGCGAAGGCAGCCCCCUGGGUCAAGACUGACGCUCAUGCACGAAAGCGUGGGGAGCAAACAGGAUUAGAUACCCAGU